UGAACGCUAGCGACAGGCCUAACACAUGCAAGUCAGGGGCAGCACAAGGAGCAAUCUGAGGUGGCGACCGGCGCACGGGUGAGUAACACGUAUGCAACCUGCCUGUAAGCGGGGAAUAACCCGUUGAAAGACGGACUAAUACCGCAUAAUACUAAAUUACUGCAUGGUAAUUUAUUUAAACAUUUAUGGCUUACAGAUGGGCAUGCGCAUGAUUAGCUAGUUGGAGAGGUAACGGCUCCCCAAGGCAACGAUCAUUAGGGGUUCUGAGAGGAAGGUCCCCCACACUGGUACUGAGACACGGACCAGACUCCUACGGGAGGCAGCAGUGAGGAAUAUUGGUCAAUGGACGAGAGUCUGAACCAGCCAAGUCGCGUGCAGGAAGAAUGUCCUUAAUGGAUUGUAAACUGCUUUUGCAGGGGAAUAAAGUGCAUCACGUGUGAUGUUUUGUAUGUACUCUGCGAAUAAGGAUCGGCUAACUCCGUGCCAGCAGCAGC
rnacentral:rRNA from 1 species